rnacentral:rRNA from 1 species
UACAGAGGGUGCGAGCGUUGUCCGGAAUCACUGGGCGUAAAGGGCGCGCAGGUGGUGGCUUAAGCGUGCGGUGAAAGCUCGGAGCUCAACUCCGAGUCGGCCGUGCGAACUGGGCUCACUGGAGCAUAGUAGAGGCAGGUGGAAUUCCGGGUGUAGCGGUGGAAUGCGUAGAGAUCCGGAAGAACACCGGUGGCGAAGGCGGCCUGCUGGGCUAUGGCUGACACUGAGGCGCGACAGCGUGGGGAGCAAACAGG